rnacentral:rRNA from 1 species
UCCUACGGGAGGCAGCAGUGGGGAAUCUUAGACAAUGGGGGCAACCCUGAUCUAGCCAUGCCGCGUGAGUGAUGAAGGCCUUAGGGUCGUAAAGCUCUUUCGCCUGUGAUGAUAAUGACAGUAGCAGGUAAAGAAACCCCGGCUAACUCCGUGCCAGCAGCCGCGGUAAUACGGAGGGGGUUAGCGUUGUUCGGAAUUACUGGGCGUAAAGCGCGCGUAGGCGGAUUAGAAAGUUGGGGGUGAAAUCCCGGGGCUCAACCCCGGAACUGCCUCCAAAACUGCUAGUCUAGAGUUCGAGAGAGGUGAGUGGAAUUCCGAGUGUAGAGGUGAAAUUCGUAGAUAUUCGGAGGAACACCAGUGGCGAAGGCGGCUCACUGGCUCGAUACUGACGCUGAGGUGCGAAAGUGUGGGGAGCAAACAGGAUUAGAUACCCUGGUAGUCCACACCGUAAACGAUGAAUGCCAGUCGUCGGAUAGUAUACUAUUCGGUGACACACCUAACGGAUUAAGCAUUCCGCCUGGGGAGUACGGUCGCAAGAUUAAAACUCAAAGGAAUUGACGG